ensembl:ncRNA F26F12.11 ncRNA
GGCCUUCGCCUGGCUCUAUUUAUACACGAGACAUUCAUGUUUUUGGGUGCCACGUGACUACACGUUUGGCGACCGCUUGUGGCACCGGUGAUGACAUCAUCACGAGGAAAAAUGUGAAAGUUGUAGUGAGGAACUGUG